rnacentral:lncRNA from 1 species
CAAGGAGAGUCUCUUCUGGGGGCUGGCCAAUUUUUAACGUCCCUAAGGCUGCCACCACCCUUUUUAAUAAAGAGAGCAGGCAGGCAGCUACAACAUCCAAGUGGAAUUUAAUAACGUCGGCUUUUAUGGCUUUUAUGACCUCCUUCUACGUACGGCAAACACUACUGGUUUUCCAUUCACGACACUGGGCUGAUGACCUGCACAGUGGAUGUUUGCCGGGUUUACCUGCUUACACCUUGACCAUCUCUCAGGAACCAACACGUCUCCCUGCCCAAUAGGUGUCACAGUGGAUGCAUGACCCCAGCUCAUGGAUCAGCCCUUCUGUCUGCUGGCCAUGGUGGUCCUGUCAGAGAUGGGCACUCGUGUUAGUCCAGCCAGAGAGAAUCCUGAACUUGUGCAGGAACAACAAGGAAAGAGGGACCCUCCAUCCAACCUGGAGCCUGGAGCUGCUGAUGGCCACUGCCAGAGAGAAUCUGCCUGAGACAAGCCAGCAGGGAGCCAUGCAGGGCCAAAGGGUGGAGGAGACCAGGUCCUGAUGGCACCACUCGAACUCCUGGAUACAGCCUUACCUGAAGCCUCUGAACUCUUCAUAUACAGGAGCUAAACAAUUCCUCUUUUUCAUUCAAGCUGAUGUGCGCUGAAUAUCUAACACUUUCAAGUAAGAGUCCAGACUAAUACAUCCUCCUAAUUUCUCCCAUAUCCCACCAUAUCUAAGUUUUUCUCCCCACCCAAAAUGCCACUUCUCUGGGCCAAGGUCCUGUCACCACUUGUCUAGGUAUCACUAACAACCACCCAACUGGUCCCCUGGCCUCCAGUCGGCUUCGCAGUCCAUUCUCCAGGCCAGAGCACCCUACACAAAGUAAGACGCCAUGUGCCCUUCCCCAGAGCAGAGGCUCCCCAGCCAGGACAAAGGCUGAGCUGACAACAGGACUUUCCAGGGUCUUAUACUUGUCAGCAGGGCUGCAGGCGCCCCCAGCAGUGGGCUGCCCUUUCUUCCUGAAGGCUCCAAGCUCCCUCUCACCCGGGAGGACCAGCAGCUUCCCGGCGGGUCUAGAAGUCUCCUCUGUCUUAGACCCAGGAGCUCCCUCCAUAAUGCGCAGCUUCGGGCAUCGCACAGAUCUCAGGAGCUCAGCCUUGGCUCUCUGCUCCCUCUCUCUUCCCCCAGGCACAGAAAAAGCAACGAAGGACAGUGAGGCCGGCUGCGGAGAGCGGCCCCCUCAGCUGCAUGCCAGAUACUGUCACCAGUUCCCAGCCGCACGCUCCCUUUCAAGCCUCUUUGAUGAGCAGACAGUCAGGAGCUGGGAGCCAUUGCAACCCUAUUCCUAUCAACUAGCUUGAAAGACCCAGCCGGUCCAGAGAGCCUCAAAAAUCACAGCGCUAGUGAAUCUCUGAAAUAACGGAUAUUCCCACCUUCGCCUUCUGGAUUUCAUAGAGCCCCAAGCUUUCAUUUAAAAUCCAUUUUAUAUGAAGUUAUCUGAAAAUGAACAAUAGGAGCCUCAAAGAGACGUCUCCCCAGACGCCUGCGUGAAGGAUGCUGGAAGAGAUCCAGCCACAAAGUCAGCUUGCCUGUUAGAUCAAAUACGCAGGUCCCAGCGGGUCCCAUCUCCUCGUCCUCGACAGGAAAGGGCCUCCUCCUGACACGGAGGUGGGGACCACGUUUCUUAGCCCCUCAGGUUGCCAUUUCAUGUCCUAGGUGAGGCUUCCAGCAACAGAAUAGCUGGAACAGACUUCACUCAACUGAACAAGUAUCUGCCGAGGGCCUACUGUGUGCUAGGCACGGACCAGGGCCUGGAUCUGGAGGGGGAAUGAGACCUAGGCCUUAGACCACUCUCACCAGGAGUUCAGCACAUAGUAGGUCCUUCACAAAUACCCAAGAGAUACUCAUCUAGAGGGCCUGUUACUCAAGCCUGGUGGGGGUGGACAGAAAAGAGCAAUGCUAUUCACUUCCUUUAUAGUCAUUAGGAAUUGUUUAAAUUGUAACAUGGCAAAUGACAGAUUCUUGACUAUUUUCCAUCGAAGAGGCCUAAAUGGCUAUUCCAGGUGAGCUUUCUCCCUUAGUUUGCCACAUCGAUGACUAAGCGUAUCUAGAUCUUGGAUUUCUAUCUUCAUAGCUGUGUGACCACAGACAAGUGGCUUAACUUCUCUGAUUCUGUGUCUGCCUCUGCAAAAUAAGAAUGAUCAUCAUUCCUACCUCAUGGGGCUGUUGUGAGGUUGAAAUGCAGUGACACUUGGGAAAUACUUAUUAUAGUAAGUGCUUAAUAAACUUCAGCGAUCAUUCAUCAUCAUCAUCAUCAUCAUCAUCAGAGUGACAGCCAAGUGGCAUAUGCAGCAGGAAGGGAAAAUGAAGCUCUAUAAAGCAAUAGCCACAGAGCGGCUCCAGGGGCCAACUGGAGCCAUGGGGAGCCCUGAGGGUGGCCCAGAGCUCUAGGAUCGCAGUUCUGGUCCCCUGAGCCACCCCUGCAGCUCCUCUGUGCCGCUUCCCUACCCCUCCAGCAGUGACUCUCCCCAGGCUACAGUGGGGGCUGUGGACUGUGCCUGAUCCACCCGCCUCCCUGGGGUCUCACACGGCCCGGCACAGAGCAGCCACUCAGCAAAUGCUCGCAGAGUGAACCAAUGAGCUGCGGCUAAACCGGACCCAGUGCCAAGAAACAGCCGGGGCCGCAGGGGACCAGGAUCAAGCAAGUUAAGACAAAGCCCAUUUGAACAGAAGGAUCUUAAGAUCCUCCGCUGGGCACACGACCUUCUCCAGGGAAGGAAAGUUAGAUGAGGGUCCAGAGCGAAACAGUCUGCAAUCUGUUUUGUUGUAAGUGACAGAAACCCAUCAUAAACAAAACUGAAACGGGACUUGUUGGUUUCAGGGCUGGAGCUGGCCUCAGGGGCUGCAGACAUUCAAAUCAUCGCUGGAUCUCUCCUCUCCUCUCCUCUCCUCCCCUCUCCUCUCCUUCUCCUCCUUUCCCUCCUCCUCUCUCUCUCUCUCCUUCCCUCCCCUCCCCUCUCCACUCUGCACACCGCCCUCAGUUUUUCCUACAGCACCAGACUUCUUCCAUUCAGUAGGGGGAGCAGCAGCUGCAGGGGCAGGAAGAGAGGGGCCUUGGCCACAGACAGCUCUAAGCUUUCCUUGUCCCAGUCCAGGGACUGAAAAGGAGCUUUUGUCAUCUCAGCCUGGCGUCUGUCUGUAAAAUCCCCGAGAAGGACUCUGAUUGGCCCUGCUUGAGUCACAUGUCCUCUUGCCAGACCAAUCACCACAGCCAGGAGAAUGGCGUCUGGGGAUUGCCAGGCUGGCUGGGGUUGCGGCAGUGAAACAGCUGGUACCCCAGAACCAAGCACGGAAGGGGAUGGUCCGCGAAAGAUCUCGGGAGCACGGUCUUCCUCCUGUCUCUCAUGCAAUCUCAGCCCCGAACUCCUUGACGCCCCUGGCCAAACCUGAUGAGAAUAUCAGAGAACCUUGUCCAAGGGGCAGUGGGGAUGCAGGGGUCCCAUGCUGUGCCCAAAGCCGGAAGUCUACGUGUUGGACUGGACAGAGCUACUGAAACAUGCUAAGGCCCUCCCACCGAACUUGGAACAAAGUCCGCACCCCCCACCGUGACCUGCAAGGCCUGCUGGGCCCAGCCCCCAUGGGGCCUUCUCCUGCGCUGUCGCCAGGGACCGCCUGCUCGCAUGGCUCAGGUCCCUGCUCAGAUGCUACCUUCCCUGACCACCCUGUUAAGGGGACCCCCUGACCCCACACCAGCCUCUCUAUGUUUAUAUAGACUUGUCCCUGUCUGAAAAUCUCCUGGUUUACUUAUUUACUGGACUGGAAGCUUCCUGAGGCUGAAACUAGGCCAGUCUUGUCUCUGCUGGGUCCCAGAGCCCAGCCCAAGGCCCAGCACAGAGACAAGACUCAUGAAUGUUUGUUGGUUGAAUGAAUGAACGGCCGUUCUAAGUCAUCCUGCCUUAGGCCUCAACAGAUGGCAGACGGGAGGAGUCUGCCUGGUGCCACCUGGUGAGUGAAUGAGUGGAUGUUGUCAUCUUACAUAAAGGAUGCGGAAAUCAGCUUCCUCCUCCCUUCCUACCCAGUUAUCCAGUUGCCCUUCAAAACCCUCAGUCUGACCCUCCGUCCACAGAACCCGGGGCAGCCGGUCCUCCUCGAGCAGCAAAGGCCCUUCGCAUGGCCAGUACAGCUAAAUAAACUGUCUGUGGAAUAAUUGAUAAUUACUGCACUUGAGUUCCCAUUCAAGUUCAAUGUUUGUGACUAAAAGCUAUGUCCAAGCCCUUCAGAGGGGACACCUCCGUUCUCAGAGCAUCUGCAUUUCUAACCAGGCUCCUCCUCGAGCACGGAGCCCUCACUGCAGGAGCACAGAGUGAAAAGCCGCGGGCCCCUCUGCUUUCAAUUCUAACAGCCACCGGAAGUGGGAUCCUGGGCACCCAGCACCUUGAAUUACCAAGACUGGUGAGCCUCAGCCACACUUGGAAGGCAAAGUUGGUUCUGCUCUCUUGCAUUCCAACUGACUUUUCUUUUCAUCAGGGGUCAGACCUUCCUCCGAGCUGGCGCAAGAGAAGCUGGAGAGGAAGGGGAGAGAGGAGGAGCAGGAGGAAACACGCUGGGCCGGCUGCGGGCGCAGCAGGAGCCAUCCUCGAUCACCAGGCCGAAGGAGCACCGGCUCCCGAGGGAGGCUCCCGGGGUGCGGUGGAGGCGCUCGGCUUCUCUCUUCAACAAGACCUGGAGAAUGUUAAUUGUUACUGUAGGUGUGUGGCGUGCAGACUAUUUGUAAGUGAGAGAAGAGUUCUGUUGCUGUGACUAAAGAGAGCGCAAUGGGUGUGGAAGACUGGAACCCGUGAGUUCCUCAAGCUGAGGCUCGGUUAAACCAUCAAUGCUUUCCUGCCAAUUGGCGCUUGCAGCUCGAGCCUUCACGCCUUUGCACACAGUCGAGGUAAUAACCACCGUGCUGCGAAAAGGCAGCCGGCUGGCAGGGGCCGCUCGCUGCACAGAGCGUUCUUUGGUUCAAAAAAGAAAAAAAAUCAUAAAAUUAAAAAAAACUGUUUAAGCUUAAAAACUAAAAGGAAGCAGUUGGCUCCAGUUGUCGAAAUGUUUUAUAAAGCAACAGCAAGAUGAAAAAAAAUUAAGAAUAAAAAAUAAACUGUCCCAGAAUGCUGAGAGAGGGCCAAAAAUAUUAAUAUGCGGGAACAUGGCAAAGCUUCUGCAAGCUGUAAAUAUUCCCUUCGGUUCCCAUGUAUGAUCGGCAAGGAUGGUGGUCCUUUUCUCCCUCGGCUCUUCCUGUUUGAAAUCUACGACAAAUAACAUUUCUUCAAAAAAUAAAAUAAGUAUUAGGGGAAGAAAGUGUGUGUGUCAGAGGUCCCUGAAUUUCUUAUUUUAAAUAUUAUAGGGAGGGGCCUGCCCG